UUAUAAAUGAAAGUUCCAACAUGUUUCAAUACAUGAAAUAAGGUGACACCACAUUAUUGAAAAAACACACUCAUUGAAUGAGGCAACACACAUGCAUCAACAAAGGCUUAAUUAUUACCCACUCAUUUGAGGGAGACAACACACAUGCAUCAACAAAGACUUAAUUAUUACACAUGAAGUUGGAGAGUUGGAAUGUUUCAAGCUUUGGCAACAAGAUGAGAUUCCAUGUCUUUGGUGAUGUCGAUGAAGUAGGAGAGUAAUGUGAUGGGAUGCUCCACAUCUUCAUUGAGCAUCUCAUACUCUAAAGUCCACGUCACCAAAUCAAUAUCUUCUCCCUUUUUCUCUACAUGAGAUGUAACAACAAAGGUUUUGUAAAGCUCCAACAAGUCUCCUUCAAGCACCUUCAACACAAUCAACUUCUUCUCUUCAUCAACUACCUCCACCAGUUCUUUUGCUUUCCUCUGUUUCCCAUCUGACGUUUACUUUUGAGGAUUAGCUUAGGUACAUAAAAAUAAUAAAUUAAUUCAUUGUUUACUAAGAUGGAUCAACAACUGAUCGGAAUGUUUGAUUAUUAGACCAUGGUAUUUGAUUCACUUAUAUACGAGUUUAAUAUUUAUCUUCUCUAAGCUCGUAAACAAAUUAAUAAAUCCGGUUUUCACUUAUUAAUUUAUCUUUUAGUAAAUAAUAAAUCUAUGCAGCGAUAUUAUGGUCACCCACAAACUGGUUAAAUGGAAAAAAAAUUAUUUAAUUUAUUUAUAAUUAAAAAUAGGAUUUCAUUAUUUUAUUGUACAUAUUUUUUUAAUUUUUUUUUGUACUUGUUGGUUGGUUUUAUAUUAUUUUAAAAAAAACACAAGAAAAUAUAAAAAAUUACAAGUAAUAACUACAAUAUAAAUGAUACAGUGAAAUAACUAUUUUUUAUAUAAAAAAAAAAUUAAAUAAGUCAAAAUUUUCUCACUUAAUUAGUACAUGGGUUGUCACAAUGUGGCUGUUUAACAGAGCUAAUUGUUAAAACAUGACCGUAAUUUUAAAUUUUUUUAAAAAGAGAACUAUAUAUUACGGAAUUUGAAAAUGAGGAUUAUAUAUUACAAAAUUUGAAAAUGAUGACUAUAGCUUUCAUUUAUACAUUUACACUCCGAUUUAACACAUCAAAAUGAGGAUUAUCGCUUCUAUCACGGUCUAAACUAGGAGUGUAAAUGUAAAAAAUGAAAGCUAUAGUCCUCAUUUUUAAAUUUCGUAACAUAUAUUCAUCUUUUUCUGAAAAUACUGAAAUUAAUGUUACGGUCCUGUUUUAACAAUUAGCUCCGGUUUAGCAUCACUCUUUAGUAAAUCAAGAGUGUGUGCAUGUUGGUCUAUUAUAUUAUAAUUAAUAGAAUGAUUAAUACUUGAAGUCAAAGGUCUCAAGUUCGAUUUAACUGCCACGCGAUCUUUACUUUUUAACAUUUUAUUUGUUAAACAAUAAAAUCAAUGAGUGCGUGCGACAAAAUUUAGUACAUCUAAAUAAAAUGUGAAGAUAAAAAGAUAAAAAAUUAAAUUUGUAAAAAGAAAUUAAUAGAUAAUUAAUUUCGUACCAUGGGUAUAAGUCCAGCAAAUGAUGGAACCAGCCUGCCCAAAUUCACCCUCGAUUAGAUCACAACCGUGAACGUAUUGAGUGGCUGUCGGAACUUCAUGUGGUGUGUGUCUGAAAAAGUCGUGGAAAACAUCUCCACCAGCUUUGAAUUCAAUUGCUGCAACUAAUUUCCCAUGAACCCCAUCUCUAAAUCUCACUAAUUAAAUUGAUUAAUUAAUUGCAAUAAAUAUAUAUAUAGAGAGAGAAAAGUUAAACAAAGUGUGAGGUUGGCCCAUUCAUUCUUUUUUGAGAUAAAAACGAACAGAUCUACAAUUUUUACUAGUCGAAAGAAGGGUGUAGAGAAAGUUCCAGCAAUCUUUGCUUUAUAUAUAGGCGAGGCAGACACACACAUCUCAUGAAGUCAUGAUAUACGUCACUUUGUAAUUAUAUAUUCUUAUUUUUUGUUUUUAAUAAUAAUAAUAAUUAAUUUUUCGAUUAAUAAUUGUUCUGAGUAGUGGCCAGUGGAUACGAUUAAAGGUGCGUUUAGUAUAGAUGAAUAAUACUCCAUCUUAUACGCCUGAAAUUAUUAAUUAAUAACUUUAGUUCAAUAAUUUGAUUCUCAGGGACACAUGAAACAUGUCUAAUUUAUAAGUCAUUAUCUAUAUUAAGCCUUACAAGUAAAUAAAUUACUAGCAGGAAGAACGUGCGAGCGUUUACUUUGAUAAUAAAUUUUUUAUUUGAAAAAUGGUGGAUAAGAAAAUAUUAUAUUUUUCUCCUUUUUUUUAUCAUAUACUCCCUCCGUCCCUAAAAUAACUUCCUCUUUUUCCAUUUUGGGACGUCCCCCAAAUAACUUCCUCUUUAUUUCUUUCCAUUUUUGGAAACCUACCCCACCACUAAUAAUACUUUAUUUAUUUUUACUUUUUACUUUUCACCACUCCCAAUAUUAUAUAAUUAUAACACUUUUCACAACUUCCAAUAAUAAUUAUAUAAUUUUUUCUCCACUAUCAAUACACUUUACAACUUUUUAUUAAAACCCGUGCCGUCCCCAAAGAGGAAGCCAUUUCAGGGACGGAGGGAGUAUAUAUUUGCUAGAGAUGAAAAGAUGAGAAAAAUAUUGGAAAAUAUUUUCACAUCACUACCCAAAUUAUACUCCUCCGUCCAUGAAAGAAUUUCCUAGGAGGGAGUGGCACGGGUUUUAAGAAAAAAUAUUGUUGAGUGUAUUAAGAGUGGAAAAAAUAUAGUUGAGUGUAUUGGGAGUGGUGAAAAUGUGUUAUAAUUAAUAUUGAGAGUUGUGAAAAGUGAAAAGUGAAAAGUAAGAGUAAUUAUAAGUGGUGGGGUAUAGUCCAAAAAUAGGUAAGAAGUUUUUUUGUGGACGUCCCAAAAAAGAAAGAUAGGAAGUUCUUUCGUGGACGGAGGGAGUAUUAUCCAACAUUGAAAAAAAAUAAGUGAAAAAUGACUGCCCGAGAAAAUAUAUAUUCCACCCCGCCCGAAGAAAAUUUUACUAUCAUAGUCAUGAACAUGAUGAAAAAAUGGUGAAAAUAUAUUUUUUCUCUUAUUUUCCAUCGAAGUAAACGUACCCUAAAGAUACAGUGUCUCCAACUUUUAGCGUUAUCUCUGAAUUCCAUUUUCUAUUAAAAUUCGACGAUGGAAUGGGGAGUUACUGACAUUGUUGGAUUUUUAGGUGAAAUUUUCUUUUUUGAACUCACACUCGUUCCACCAAAGAACUCGAUAAAGUGAUUCAUCACACCGUUGCCGUAUUUUAUAUAAUGGGAUAUUUUUUAAAAUUGUUGAAAAUUGAAAGAAUUCAAUAAUUUUAUAUAAUGGGAUAUUUUUGAAAAAUGUAGAAAAUUGAAUUGAAAGAUUUUAAAUAGGAAACGUCAAUUCAGGAUAUUACUGCGGUUUGGACACGCUAGUGAUAAAUCAAUAAUUUAGAGACAUUAUUAUAAAAUAAUAAUAAUUUAGAGACAUGUAGACCAGAGAUGUGAGCUGGAAUACGACACUUUUGAUUGAUAAUUAUUUGAGUACAAAUAUAGUAAUAUAAAAUCUUGCUGAAUUGGUUGAACAACUUUGAUAAAUAAUUGCAUGAUUGAUUGUGCAUUUCCCUUUUGAGAUCACAAAUUAUCCACAUGAGUCAUGACGAGAUCGUGCAUAUAAAGAAUAUUAUCAUCGAAAAACAACAUUAUUGUAUAUAUAUAAUAUUAUAUUGCACUUAUAUUUCUUAAUUAGAAGAUAUUCAUGAACUAUUUGUAGUAUCAUCAUGUGGCCAUUAAAGUUUGGAUGCACCUGCAAUUUUAUCACCACAAAUCUCGAGGCGAAUUGAAAGCCACAUGCUCUGGUAAUAAAUGUUGUUGAAUAGUGCAUGUUCAUGGCAGGAUAUGGUGAUGAUUUUGUCGAAUUAAUUUUAUUUUGUGCGUUGGUCAAGCGGUAGAGAAGUUAACGCUUAAGACUAAAGGAGUAGCUAGAUUCGAAUUCAUCAUAACAUAAUUUUUAAAUUUCUUUAUUUAAUACUGUUAAUCUAUAAAAAAAAAAAAAGCGGACGUACGCUACUUUUAGCAGCUUAGCUCCACUUUAAAUUGGGUAGGUCAAUCGGACUAGUUUUGACAUGUUUAGUAGGAGUUAGAUGAUUAUUUAGAAUAUUAAUAGACUGAUUUAAAAAUUAUGAUAAAUUUUUUUUGAAGUUGUAAUUAAGUAGGACACUAAUUAAUAAGUAAUGCACACGCAGAACAAUUUUUCAACCUAUUUCAAUUAGCGUUCUACUUUUGCAAGUUCAAAAAUUUAAUUUUCGGCAGUUUGGAGUAAGCCCGAAACUCUUAAAAUGAGGGUCGAUUAAUUAGGGGGAAUUUACUUUGCAUAAUUGAUAAGAUGCACUAUUGAGUAUUUUUAUCCUCAAAAAUAGGAUUUCUCCAAUCUCAUCCUUUCACUAGGAUAAAAAUUAAGAAAAGUUAGCUUAAAUGAUAGAAAUUAUAAUCAAGGGCCUUGGGAUAUCCCAAAGUUUCAAUCUAUCAAAAUAAACAGUCUUACUAUUUUUAUCUAUCAAUGCUUAUCCUCCAAAGUAAAUACCCCUUAGUGUUUUCACCUCUAACUAUUGAGGUGUCUGGUUUGAUUGAUACGGCAUAAUUGAUAAAAUAAUCAAACUUAAUCAAGUGUUUGGUUUGCAUGAUUUGACCCGUGAUGAAUAACUCAGUCCACACUCUAAUCAUGCAAUUGAAUGAUUACUUAUCACUCCAAAGUUGAGUGAAUUAUUUAAUCACUCUCCAAUCUCAUCAAUCUUAUCUAUCAUAUUCACCAAACCUAUCCGAAAUUUAAGGACGAAUGCAUCGGAUAUUCCGCAUCCACGAAUCCAAAUCAAGUCCAAGGUCCGGCCUACAGACCCCACAAAAGAGUGACAAAUACCACUAAACUACAUGUAUGUAUAAUAAUACUCUCUUCGUCCACAAAAAUAAGAUUUAAAGGAGAGUGGCGGGGGAUUUUAAGAAAACUUGUGUUGUUUAUUUAGUGAGUGGAGAAAGGGGCCUACAAAUUAAUCAAAUCAUUACUAAAAAUAGAUUGGAUCAUAUUUUCGUGGACGAACAAAAAUAGCAAAUUAGGUCUUAUUUUUGUGGACAGAUGGGGGGGAGUAGAUAUCUUAUAUCAUAUCAAUAUAUUUAUGAAUCACAGUUAAGCCAUCUCCACAAAGUUUCAUAAUAGCAAUAAAAAAGUGCCAAAUACAAUAGUUUGUAAAAGCAACAAAGUUGAAUUGAACAAACUGUGAAACUCUCUCUCUCUCUUCCCCUCCUCUAUCUCACACACACAGACACACACAUUGGGGAAGUAAAGGCUCUUAUUGACUCAACAUAUGAAGAACAAAAGAAGCAAAGAAACCAUUAAACAUCACACCUCUCUCAUUGUAGAGUUUGGAAAUGAGAAAGAUUAAUUGAUUCAAUUAAGUUUUGGAAGCGUGAUGAGUCUCGAUGUCUUUGGUGAGGUCGAUGAACAAGCUGAGGAGUGAGAUGGGAUGCUCCACAUCUUCAUUAAGCAUCUCGUAUUCGAAGGUACAUGUCACCAAAUCAAUGCCCCCAUUUGUCUCAACGUGGAUUGUAAUAACGAAGUCUUUGUAGAGC
rnacentral:lncRNA from 1 species